AGUAAGUCUUAUUAUGGAUGUUUUCAUAACAUUUAAAUGUUUUUUAGUCUCUGCUAGAAACACUAAAAUACUGAGUAAAUUUUACGACACUAUUUUAGAGUGCGUUUGAAUCAGCGCAUGCGCAUUGGGACAAACGAAAGUACCGCGCAGAUGUCCAUUGUCCGUCCGUUCGUUGGCAGCAGACAGAGUUGUGAAUAUCUCCGGAAUCUCUCAGGUAAGUAACAGCUUUAUCCAUUAAAUAAUUUAUUAUCAGUUUAAAACGCGUUUUGGUGAUUAGUUUGAAGCACUGUAUGGACUGCACACCGAGCGGUCUACACCAAGGUUUGUGUGAUGUAGCUUGAUGCUAGCUAGCUAGUUAUUAGCCAGUUCAUUCCACCAGAGUCGCACACCGCGCGGUUAAUUUGCGAGAUACUAUAUCUUAUUCAGAGCUAUUGUAUUUUGUCUCAUGUACUGUCCCGUGUAGUGCGAAUAUAACACAACGUAUGUUUGAUGUAUCUUCUGCAGGAAGACAGAUCUACUGUGUGUCACAGUUUCACACACAUUCUGCCCCUGUCCUAGACAACACAAAUUCUCACUCUCUGUAACAUACUUCUCCUUUCCACACAUGGAAACAAACCACUGCUCCUUGCAAGUAUUCGUAUCUUCUGACAUGAUAGUAUAUUGUGUACAAAUUAUUGUUUGCAACUGAUGCUAUUACUCCUUUCACAGAACCCGAGCACUGACAUGUGACGUGACGCAGUUAUCAGUGGCCUCAUACUAUUCCUUGGUGAAAAAGAAGAGAAACUUUUCGAAGAUUGCCUGGAGGACAAUCGCAGUGAUGCCACUCAACACAUAGUCAAGAUCCUGGUUGUCCAUGGUACUGAUGGAGAAGAACCAGUAGAUGUUUCCAUCAUUCUUGAAGGGAAGGAGGUAUUGACACGAUGCAACAGCACAGCCAAAGCUUGCACGUUGCUAAUGGGACUGAUUUAUUCCCUGAACCUUGCCUACCCCUGGACUCUGCGCUACACCUUUGAGGUGUUUCAAAAACUUUUCCUGGAACUGAAUGGGAUAAAGCUGUCACCAAAAGUACAUCUUUAAAGUUGAAGUUGCUGUCUGAAAGGAGUUUUCUUUCUUAAAUGUUCCUAAUGUUGUCAACAAAGGCAACUGCUGUCAUUCAUGCUCACAAGGUAAAAAAAAAGUUAAAAAUAACCUUUGUUUUAAAGGUUUUAACAGAGGAUUUGAUGUUGUCCUCAAACUUUAAUGUUUUAACCGAAUGCUAAUAUAAAUAUGUUAAUG
ensembl:lncRNA